rnacentral:rRNA from 1 species
AUUGAACGCUGGCGGCAGGCCUAACACAUGCAAGUCGAACGGUAACAGGAAGAAGCUUGCUUCUUUGCUGACGAGUGGCGGACGGGUGAGUAAUGUCUGGGAAACUGCCUGAUGGAGGGGGAUAACUACUGGAAACGGUAGCUAAUACCGCAUAACGUCGCAAGACCAAAAAGGGGGACCUUCGGGCCUCUUGCCAUCGGAUGUGCCCAGAUGGGAUUAGCUAGUAGGUGGGGUAACGGCUCACCUAGGCGACGAUCCCUAGCUGGUCUGAGAGGAUGACCAGCCACACUGGAACUGAGCCACGGUCCAGACUCCUACGGGAGGCAGCAGUGGGGAAUAUUGCACAAUGGGCGCAAGCCUGAUGCAGCCAUGCCGCGUGUAUGAAGAAGGCCUUCGGGUUGUAAAGUACUUUCAGCGGGGAGGAAGGGAGUAAAGUUAAUACCUUUGCUCAUUGACGUUACCCGCAGAAGAAGCACCGGCUAACUCCGUG